UGCUGGCCUCGCUUUCGGCGGCGUUUUCGUGCUGCUACGGUUCGAGGUUUCUGCUUUGUGGCCGUCGGUGGCUUGCUUGGAUAAGCGCAAAGUCACCUUCUAACCAGAAAUGGUGGCUUGGGGUUCUCCUCUUUCUAUAUACAGAUAUUAAACUGCAGCGAAGGAGGAGAGUCACCUGCUGCAGGUGGGGGAAAAACUGAUCAAAAGAGACGCCGAAGGCAGAGAAUCGCGCAGCGGACAGAGGCUUCCGCGAGGAUGCAACUAUCUGCAUGCAAAAUCACACCCCUCUACAAAAAGGGUGGCGAUGCUGAUGGCAUAACACUGUUUUGUCAUUUUCCUUCCUUGGACACCCUUUACAAGACAUCCAUAUUUUAUAUAUAUAGCAUGAAAGUCAGAACAUAUGCACAUGGCGUAUCAUUUCAUCUAAGAACUUACUGAUGUUUUCUUCACAGCAAGACAGUGACAGGAUACUGCAAUCAAAAGUUUCCAGAGUUGAAGAUGUAUCAGCAAAAAACCUUCUAUGAUAUCCUUUUCAAACAGG